UAGAGUUUGAUCAUGGCUCAGGAUAUACGCUGGCGGCGUGCCUAACACAUGCAAGUCGUACGGUCCGACCCGAAAGGGACGGAGAGUGGCAGACGGGUGAGUAACACGUGGGCAACCUACCCUUGAAUGGGGAACAACCUCGAGAAAUCGGGGCUAAUACCGCAUAAUGUUCCGUUUCAUAAGGAACGGGACUAAAGGUCUUGUAAGAGACUGUUUGAGGAUGGGCCCGCGACCUAUUAGCUUGUUGGUAGGGUAACGGCCUACCAAGGCGACGAUGGGUAGCCGGCCUGAGAGGAUGAUCAGCCACACUGGAACUGAAACACGGUCCAGACUCCUACGGGAGGCAGCA
rnacentral:rRNA from 1 species